UAAUAGUGUAUAUUAAAGUUGUUGCAGUUAAAAAGCUCGUAGUUGAAUGUUGGUGUCGAACGAGCGGUCAGCUUCGGCUGUACUGCUCUCUCGACUCCUUCCUUCUGUGGACUACGUCGCACUUUACUGUGUGGCGCUAGGACGCAGAUCGUUUACUGUGAAAAAAUUAGAGUGUUCAAAGCAGGCCGUACGCUUGAAUACAUUAGCAUGGAAUAAUGGAAUAGGACGUCGGGCCUAUUUUGUUGGUUCUGGGACCGUAGUAAUGAUUGAUAGGGACAGUUGGGGGUGCUGCUAUUCCGCGGCCAGAGGUGAAAUUCUCAGAUUCCCGGAAGAGCAACUUAUGCGAAAGCAUUCACCAAGGAUGUCUUCUUUAA
rnacentral:rRNA from 1 species